rnacentral:rRNA from 1 species
CGGGGUGCACCAGGCGCGAAAACUUUACAAUGCUGGCAACAGCGAUAAGGGGACCUCGAGUGCCAGGAUACAAUCUUGGCUGUCGUGAUGCCUAAAAAGCAUUACAUAGCAAGGGCCGGGCAAGACCGGUGCCAGCCGCCGCGGUAACACCGGCGGCUCGAGUGGUAACCGCUAUUAUUGGGUCUAAAGGGUCUGUAGCCGGCCGGAUAAGUCUCUUGGGAAAUCCAGCAGCUCAACUGUUGGGCUUCCAGGGGAUACUGUUCGGCUCGAGGCCGGGAGAGGUGAGAGGUACUUCAGGGGUAGGGGUGAAAUCUUGUAAUCCUUGAAGGACCACCAGUGGCGAAGGCGUCUCACCAGAACGGUCCUGACGGCAAGGGACGAAAGCUAGGGGCACGAACCGGAUUAGAUACCCGGGUAGUCCUAGCCGUAAACGAUACUCGCUAGGUGUCGGCCACGGUGCGACCGUGGUCGGUGCCGUAGGGAAGCCGUGAAGCGAGCCACCUGGGAAGUACGGCCGCAAGGCUGAAACUUAAAGGAAUUGGC